AAAAAAAAAAAACGAAACGAUUACAAAGUAAAACAUAGGAGGAGGUGGAGUGGUGGGUAAAUAAUAAUAAUGAGGUAGUAUUCAUUUUUCCAGGAUCAGUUCUUCUUGUUGCCUACAAAACACCCCUCUCCUCUCAGCCCUUCCCAAAUUCACCGAUUUUCUGAGAUGGAUACUGGGCCGGGGCAGCACAAUGUUGCUUCCAAAGAUGUUGUACCAGUAACCACCGCAAAUAAAAAUGCGGAUUUGAAGGAAGAUGAUUCACCUGUAAAUGGACUUUAUUAUAACCAAAAUGUGAUACCUGCAAAUAAACCAGGAGAUAUUCUCAAGAAUUUACAGAAUGUAUCCUAUGUAUACAGACAAGAUGUUGUAAGAAGCAGUAUCAAUAGUAAGCUUGGAAUUGUCACUGAAGUUGCUGGUGACUCUGAUUCCGAUGGAAGCUUAACUGAUGACGAUGAUGAUGAUGAUGAUGAUGAGGUAGAUGACGAUGAUGGUGACGAUGACGAUGCUGAAGUGGAUAACUCUCAAAAAGUUAACCAGACUAAAGAUUCUGAUAGUCAAAAGAAUCAUAACCUCCCAGCUGAUCAAGUUAGGGUGCUCUGGAUAGAUGAAUCUGAGACGACAGAAAGUAUAAAUAAUGUGAAAGUUGUUGAUCGGGGAUUUCUGCAUGGGGAUUAUGUUGCUGCUGCUUCAGACCCAACGGGUCAAGUGGGUGUCGUGGUAGAUGUCGAUAUUUCUGUUGAUUUAUUAACUCAUGAUGGCUCUAUCAUUGAAAAUAUUUCUGCCAGGGACUUGAAACGUGUCAGGGAUUUCACAAUCGGUGACUAUGUAGUUCUUGGUCCCUGGUUAGGUAGAAUUGAUGAUGUCUUGGAUAAUGUCACGGUUCUUUUUGAUGAUGGCUCCGUAUGCAAAGUUAUGAAAGCUGACCCACUUCGUCUUAAACCUGUUGGCAAGAAUAUUCUUGAAGAUGGGCACUUUCCUUACUAUCCUGGGCAGCGUGUCAAGGCAAACUCUUCGUCAGUCUUUAAGAACUCAAGAUGGAUUUCUGGCUUAUGGAAAGCUAACCGUCUAGAGGGUACAGUGACUAAAGUUACAGUAGGUUCUGUAUUCAUAUAUUGGAUUGCUUCUGCUGGUUAUGGACCUGACUCUUCUACAACGCCAGCAGAAGAGCAAAGUCCCAAAAAUUUAAAACUUUUGUCUUGUUUUUCACAUGCAAACUGGCAAUUGGGUGAUUGGUGCCUUCUUCCUUCACCUGUGCUAUUGUCCAGCAUUCCUCUGGACAAGGGAUUAUCAAAACUAGAACUUUGUGAUUCUGUCAAAGAGGAAUCAGAAUCUGCUCAAACAGGAGCAGAAUGUUCUGAAGUUGUCACUUCGGAGGAAUCAAAUGGGAACGGUGAAUUAAUAGUACUUGAUGCAGAGGUUUCACUGGAAGCAAAUAAUGGGAAGGCUGAAGCUAAAGCUCCUGCAGAAUCUAGUUCAUGUUCUAGUUCAUUGUCUAUUUCCAAGGAGUCAGUCCAUGAAUCUUGGCCCUUACAUCGUAAGAAGAUCCGUAAAGUUAUAGUCAGGAGGGACAAAAAAGCAAGGAAAAAAGAGGACAAUUUUGAAAGAGCCCUGUUGAUCGUUAAUACUAGGACUAGUGUUGAUGUAGCCUGGCAGGAUGGAACAAUAAAAAGAGGUAUAAAUUCCACGAGUUUGAUUCCUAUUGAGAGUCCAGGAGAUCAUGAAUUUGUUGCAGAACAGUAUAUAGUUGAGAAAGCUGCCGAUGACGGUUAUGAUACUGGUGAAACUAGACGUGUCGGGGUUGUGAAAAGUGUUAAUGCAAAGGAGAAGACAGCUCAUGUGAGGUGGUUAAAGCAAGUUACUAGGGCUGAGGAUCCCAGAGAAUUUGAUAGAGAAGAAGUAGUAAGCGUUUAUGAGUUGGAGGGCCAUCCUGACUAUGAUUACUGCUAUGGAGAUGUUGUUGUUCGAUUAUCACCUGUUUCUCUUCCAGUAGAAAUUCUAUCCACUACUAACUCUGCUGAAGAGUCUGAGCUGCUGCAUGGUACAUAUGAGGAAGAGCAAGAUGCAGAACAACACAUUGGAUGUAAGAAGGUUGAGGAUGAAUCAACUGAUGAAGUUUGUACUGAAUUCUCAGAUCUCUCCUGGGUUGGGAAUAUUACUGGACUCAGGAAUGGUGACAUUGAGGUUACAUGGGCUGAUGGAAUGGUCUCAAUGGUUGGUCCUCAAGCAAUAUAUGUUGUUGGUCGCGAUGAUGAUGAGUCAAUUACAGGUGGAAGUGAAAUUAGUGAUGAUGCAGCCAGCUGGGAAACCGUUGAGGAUGAUGAGAUGGAUACUAUUGAGAAUGCUGACGAGGGUGUUAAAAAUCGAAGUGCCACUGACAUUAGAAUUGACAAUGAAGAUGGCUCUGAUAGUUCUGGAAGAAAUGGGGCUCUUUCCAUUCCCCUGGCUGCACUUGGGUUUGUGACCAGGUUGGCCUCUGGCAUAUUUUCAAGGGGGCGAAAACACACUGAUCCAGAUUCCAGGAGUGAUGAUGAACUUCAGCUGCGGGAAUUGGCUGUCAAAAUAGAUACUGAUGAUGAGUCAUGUUCCCAGAGAUCUAAUGGUGGUGAUAGCAUUGGAAGUCUGAGCACUAAAGUGAAGGCAGAGGAACAAGAUGACAAAGAGGUUGCAGAUUUAUUGGAUGCGGCUGAAGCUCUUUGUAACUUGAAGCCAGAAGCAAAUGUCCCAACUUAUCAUGAUGAUCGAGCGUCUAGUUUCAAAGGAUUUGAUAUCACCAAAGAUCCUUACGAUCAUUAUUUUCGUGGUACAAAUGAACAGAAUAAUGCGAGUAGGAAGUGGCUCAGGAAGGUUCAACAAGAUUGGAAUAUUUUGCAGAAUAACCUUCCUGAGGGGAUCUUUGUACGUGUUUAUGAAGAUCGAAUGGAUCUAUUGAGGGCUGUCAUAGUUGGAGCGUAUGGAACACCUUACCAAGAUGGCCUUUUCUUCUUUGACUUUCACCUCCCACUAGAGUACCCUGAUGUCCCACCAUCUGCCUAUUAUCAUUCUGGAGGGUGGCGAAUAAAUCCGAAUCUGUAUGAGGAAGGCAAAGUUUGCUUGAGCCUUUUGAAUACUUGGACAGGCAGAGGAAAUGAGGUGUGGGAUCCUUCAUCAUCGAGCAUUCUUCAAGUCCUAGUUUCGCUUCAAGGGCUAGUGCUAAAUUCCAAGCCAUAUUUCAAUGAAGCUGGAUAUGACAAACAAAUUGGGACAGCUGAGGGAGAGAAAAAUUCUUUGUCGUACAAUGAGAAUACAUUCUUACUCAACUGCAAGACAAUGAUGUAUCUCAUACGGAAACCUCCCAAGGACUUUGAAGAGCUUGUCCAACAGCACUUUAGAAGACGUGGUUACUGCAUCCUCAAAGCCUGUGAUACUUAUAUGAAGGGAUAUCUUAUUGGUUCACUCACAAAAGAUGCUUCCAUUAGCAGUAAUACCCAUGCUAAUUCAAAUUCCAUUGGCUUUAAACUGAUGCUGGCAAAGAUUGUGCCAAAACUUUACAUAUCGUUAAGUGAAAUUGGAGCCAACUGUCAGGAGUUUAAGCACCUGCAAUAACCUUGGAAGUCUUGCAGGGCCAGCUGUACAUCUUCUUCAUCCAAAUCCAAUAAGUUUUGUUAGAGAUCCAGAAAUGAGGGUGGGCUCUAAACUGACUCGCAACUUAAGUAAGAUACUUUUCUGCUGAAGAAGAUUUCCGUUCCUGAGAUGCUCAUUGUCGUUUGCCAACUUGUUCUGCAAUUUAGAUAAUGCAGUGGAAUCCAUCCUAACGACCCAAAGACGGAUGGGGAAAGCUUGGUAGCUUGCGCUUGGGACCCCGGAUUAAAAUAGAAGACAAUGCAAGCUAAUCAUUAGAGGUGGAGUUGUUCUAAUUACAAAAAGCUAGUGACCGGAUUUGUACCCAGAAAUAGCAUCUCUGUUUAAGAGUGAUUUGAUGAUCACCCUGCCCCAAGCUCAUCAUGACACCUUUCAUGAAUGCAAUCUGAAGGAAAUACACGGUAUGCUGCAAUUAGUGCUGUGUCAAGUAAGCAGGAGAUAACAUCCCUUUAAACUCAAAGCUACAGUGGUUUAAUAUGAUUCCCUAUUAGUUAGUUACCCUGUUGGUCCCAGGAAAAGAAAGCUGUACAUUAGAUCAGUGACAGCUCCACUUAAACUGUAUGGCGAGGUGUUUGAGACUUUCCGAGUAUCGUUACUAUUAGUAGAUUAUUUGGGAUAAUUUUUUGAAACGAAUACUGAUUGAAAAAUGUGUUAAUGAUGCAAACAAAAUCCAAACGAGGAUUGAGGUUAACAAUUUGUCAUGAAAGAUGAAGCAAUAUAGAUUUGAGUAAAUCUUAUAUGCACUACAGUGUCUAUAUUAUCA